rnacentral:lncRNA from 13 species
GACAGCUGAGAGCUGUCUUCCUGCAGCACUCCCAGCAGUGACAGACUAGUUCUUUCAUUCCUAAAGAGAAAUAUGGGUGGUAUAGGGACACUUAACAGUCGCUUCUGUGCUUAGGAAGUUCUGAGACAGACAGAGGCCUGGUCUGCUGCUCUAAGAUUUACUUUAUGUGGUCUCACUCUUUCAGGACACACUUGACCCAAAGCCUGUCUUCAAGAAUGUAACUGGAAAACUCAUACAAGUGGAUUAGGGGCAAUAAAGAAGCCAUAUCCUGGAAAAAACAUUCCAGACACAAUUGGACAACUGUGAUCAAGUUGAACCAACUCGAUCAGGAGAAAGAAGGGGCAGGUGAAGGAGGAAGGCAAAAUAAGGACACAAACCGCAGCAGGAUAUUAGGCUGCG